rnacentral:rRNA from 1 species
UAAUACGGGGGGAGCGAACGUUGUUCGGAAUCACUGGGCGUAAAGGGCGCGCAGGCGGCUCGGUCAGUGGACUGUGAAAUGCCCUGGCUCAACCAGGGAACUGCAUUCCAUACUGCCGAGCUUGAGUAUAGGAGAGGAUGGGGGAAUUCCCGGUGUAGCGGUGGAAUGCAUUGAUAUCGGGAGGAACACCAGUGGCGAAGGCGCCCAUCUGGCCUAAUACUGACGCUCAGGCGCGAAAGCUAGGGGAGCAAACAGGAUUAGAUACCCUGGUAGUCCUAGCCGUAAACGGUGAGCACUAGGUGUAGGAAGUAUCGACCCUUCCUGUGCCGCAGCUAACGCAUUAAGUGCUCCGCCUGGGGAGUACGACCGCAAGGUUG